AUUUCUCUACUUGGUGAAUCAAAACUUUUGAACCUAAUCUAUAAAUACAGGAACUGAGUUGUAGAGGCGUUGUGAGCAAGCCCAUCUAGUUCUGCUAGUCAAUGGGAAGCCUAAGAUGUCUCUCCGAAGUUCCCACCUGGAACAAAUGGUUCUAAGGUGCUGCAAUUCACUGAUGGAGAGAUA
rnacentral:other from 1 species